rnacentral:lncRNA from 1 species
AUUAAUUUAAGAGAUAAAGAGGUGCAGGUUGGAAAUGAGGUGUAAAGCAUAACCUAAUGUUAAUGGCUCAUAGAGAAUUUAUUGUGGGAAGUGUAUUAUUUCAGAAAAAUAAGAACAUGAGCUUAAAAAAAGGGAUGGGCUGCAACUAGAAACAAAGAAAAAGAAAAAAGCUGCACUUAAAAUGAAAGGGAAAAAAAGAACCCCCACCCGAACCGG